GAUGAACGCUGGCGGCGUGCUUAACACAUGCAAGUCGAACGAAGCAUUUAAGACAGAUUACUUCGGUUUGAAGUCUUUUAUGACUGAGUGGCGGAUGGGUGAGUAACGCGUGGGUAACCUGCCUCAUACAGGGGGAUAGCAGCUGGAAGCGGCUGGUAAUACCGCAUAAGCGCACGGUAUCACAUGAUACAGUGUGAAAAACUCCGGUGGUAUAAGAUGGACCCGCGUCUGAUUAGCUUGUUGGUGAGGUAACGGCCCACCAAGGCGACGAUCAGUAGCCGGCCUGAGAGGGUGAACGGCCACAUUGGGACUGAGACACGGCCCAAACUCCUACGGGAGGCAGCAGUGGGGAAUAUUGCACAAUGGGGGAAACCCUGAUGCAGCGACGCCGCGUGAGUGAAGAAGUAUUUCGGUAUGUAAAGCUCUAUCAGCAGGGAAGAAAGUGACGGUACCUGAAUAAGAAGCCCCGGCUAACUACGUGCCAGCA
rnacentral:rRNA from 1 species